rnacentral:rRNA from 1 species
CMAUUCGGMAGUCUACCAUGCAGUCGAACGGUAGCACAGAGAGCUUGCUCUCGGGUGACGAGUGGCGGACGGGUGAGUAAUGUCUGGGAAACUGCCUGAUGGAGGGGGAUAACUACUGGAAACGGUAGCUAAUACCGCAUAACGUCGCARGACCAAAGAGGGGGACCUUCGGGCCUCUUGCCAUCAGAUGUGCCCAGAUGGGAUUAGCUAGUAGGUGGGGKAACGGCUCACCUAGGCRACSAUCCCURGCUGGUCUGARAGGAUGACCAGCCACACUGGAACUGASACACGGUCCAGACUCCUACGGGAGGCAGCAGUGGGGAAUAUUGCACAAUGGGCGCAAGCCUGAUGCAKCCAUGCCGCGUGUAUGAAGAAGGCCUUCGGGUUGUAAAGUACUUUCAGCGGGGAGGAAGGUGUUGUGGUUAAUAACCGCAGCAAUUGACGUUACCCGCAGAAGAAGCACCGGCUAACUCCGUGCCAGCAGCCGCGGUAAUACGGAGGGUGCAAGCGUUAAUCGGAAUUACUGGGCGUAAAGCGCACGCAGGCGGUCUGUCAAGUCGGAUGUGAAAUCCCCGGGCUCAACCUGGGAACUGCAUUCGAAACUGGCAGGCUAGAGUCUUGWAGAGGGGGGUAGAAUUCCAGGUGUAGCGGUGAAAUGCGUAGAGAUCUGGAGGAAUACCGGUGGCGAAGGCGGCCCCCUGGACAAAKACUGACGCUCAGGUGCGAAAGCGUGGGGGAGCAAACAGGAUUAGAUACCCUGGUAGUCCACGCCGUAAACGAUGUCKACUUGGAGGUUGYGCCCUUGAGGCGUGGCUUCCGSAGCUAACGCGUUAWGUCGACCGCCUGGRGGAGUACCGGCCGCGAKGAUUAAWACUCARAAUGUARAUUGGACGGGGGGGUCCCCGGUCA